GUUCAUGGUCAAAAGCAUUUGUUCCUGGGAUUACCAGGAGUGAGCUUUGGUCCGCCACAGAACUGAGUUGAUGUGUUUAUUUAUGCGUUUAAUAUAUAGCUUUACCCAUCUCCUGGCAGAACUGCAUGUGCUUGGUUUGGUUUUGAUGAAUGAGGUGUGGCACGCAGAUGGAGAACAGCUAAGCCAGGCUCGUUAUCCCACAAGCCCCUGCGUCUACUUUAUCUUGCCCAUCAGAAGUACUGGGACUGAAGUUGUGUGGUCCAGCUCUGAAUCUGGACAUUGGACAUCAGCUCCUUAUUGACUGUGUGUGGGGUUUCUUCUCUGACUGAUCUGGUGAGCCCCAAUCUUCUACCUGAGGAAUGUCACUUAGAUCUUGGUGAAGUUAAAGGUUCAGCUUCCCGGAAUUCCUCUCCAUGCAAAUGAGGUAUCCACAGACCUUUAAGCCAGAGCCAAUGAAACUUCACCCUAAGAAGCA
rnacentral:sRNA from 1 species